rnacentral:lncRNA from 1 species
GAGGGGAAAAGAGAAUACCCUAGAUGGCAUUGGGAUCGAAUAGUGGCAUGAUCCAACCGUAGAUUCCAUGAUUCAUCGGUAAGAACUAUGAUCACUAGAGAAUUCAAAAGAAGAUUUUAUUCAAAUUUCAAGAGAUUUGGGAUGUCGUAAAAAAGAGAUUUGAAGAGCCCACGAAGAAAGAAGAAGCCGUUCUUGAUGUAGUAAAGAAG